GUCUUUGUAGAUAUAGGUGUUUUGAGAAUACGCCUUAAGGAUCAAUGGUUAACGAUGGCCUCUGAUGGGUGGUUUCGCUAGAAUAGGCAAUAAUGAGAUCACCAUUUUAGUAAACGAUGCAGAAAGAGGUAGUGAUAGAUUGAUCCGCAAGAAGCUCAGCGAACUCUUGAAAUAGCUGAAGCUAACUUGAGUAGAGCUGAAG